rnacentral:snRNA from 1 species
GGCUUGAUUUUUUUGGCUUUAUACUAAAUUUGUAAUGAUGCAGAAAAGAUUAACAUUGCCUCUAUGCAAGAAUGACUUGCAAAUUCAUGAAACAUUUCAUAUUUUU